rnacentral:rRNA from 1 species
GACGAACGCUGGCGGCGUGCCUAAUACAUGCAAGUCGAACGGUUUAGUUCCAAGAGGCUUGCCUUUUGGAACUAGACAGUGGCGGACGGGUGAGUAACACGUAGGCAACCUACCUGUCAAACCGGGAUAACCUCGGGAAACCGAAGCUAAACCCGGAUAAGCUCCUUUUUCGCAUGAAGGGGGCGUGAAAAGGUGCGACCUGAUGACAGAUGGGCCUGCGGCGCAUUAGCUAGUAGGUAGGGUAACGGCCUACCUAGGCGAUGAUGCGUAGCCGACCUGAGAGGGCGUACGGCCACACUGGGACUGAGAUACGGCCCAGACUCCUACGGGAGGCAGCAGUAGGGAAUCUUCGGCAAUGGGCGAAAGCCUGACCGAGCAACGCCGCGUGAGUGAGGAAGGCCUUCGGGUUGUAAAACUCUGUUGUUUGGGAAGAAGGGAAAGGGUAGGACCCUUUGGUGACGGUACCAAACGAGAAAGCCCCGGCUAACUACGUG